rnacentral:rRNA from 1 species
UACGGAGGAUGCGAGCGUUAUCCGGAUUUAUUGGGUUUAAAGGGUGCGUAGGCGGGUUAUCAAGUCAGCGGUAAAAUCGUGGAGCUCAACUCCAUCCAGCCGUUGAAACUGAUGAUCUUGAGUGGGCGAGAAGUAUGCGGAAUGCGUGGUGUAGCGGUGAAAUGCAUAGAUAUCACGCAGAACUCCGAUUACGAAGGCGACCUGCUAGAACAUAACUGACGCUGAUGCGCGAAAGCGUGGGGAGCAAACAGG